CCCGCUGGAUGCUGCCAUCUGCGGACAGAAAGGCAUGUUAUGGAGACAUGGAACACAAAGCAUCUGCACCCAGCUUUGUCUUUGGGAACAUGGCCAGUGUCUGGGAUCAGGUGCGAGGAGUCUCCCCCUUCCACAGUCACAGGCACAAUUUAAUUAGUUAAUUAAUUAAAGGUUAAUAAAUAAAGGUUAAUCAGGACCCUCAGAAAUGCAGUUGUAACACUCACAGCAUUUUCUUAAAUCUUUUCCUAUUACCCUACCAUUACUAUGAAAAAAAUACCUGAUAUUCAGGCAGUCUCUCACUCUGUGUGGAAGAAGGUAAGUGACACGGUGGUACAACAGCUGGAACUGAUGCCUGUAUUAUCAGUCUCAUUAAAAGGUACAUGUUUCAAAUAAUAUCCUCCAUCAGAGGUUUGCAAUUUUGCUCCAUACUGCAUUCUGGAGAAGCACCUCAGAAUAAGUAACAGGAUUACAUCCAAAACCUGUUCAGUGUAAGAUGAUAAGCUGUGAGGGAAGAAUGUGUUUCACUGGACAGAAGAGGAAGAGGGGUCUCUCUAACCUCCUGAGAGCUCUGUCUUCCUCCCCACCCUGUUGGAGGUAGGAAAAACCCUGGAUCCACCUGAUGGUGUGUCCGCAGCUGGUGUUUGUGGUAACUCUUGUCCUUGGUUCAGGUCACGUUCUGGUGGAUUUGGGGGAGCUGCAGUGGGUUUAAGUGGAGUCGCUGGAGCUGCAGGUUGAGAUGGGGGCUGUGCAAGGUCAUCAGGCGGAGGAACUGGAAACACCGUGGGCUUGGAGGAGCUCGAUUCUUUAUUUAUAAGCAGCACAUGGAUAGGUCCUGAACUACUUUUAAGAUUGAUCUGGUAUUUCUUCUGUCCAUUCUGUCCCUGUAAAGGUGGUGUAUUAUGAAAGUUACUGUUCCUUGAGAACUCGACACUGUACAAGGUGAUGAAGACUAAGUUCAGCUGUUUUGGUCCUCGACAAAAAAAAAAUAAAAAAAUACAGCCCAACAUUACAGCUGCUAACUUGGGUCCUGCAGAGAACCUUACCAUUGCCUGAACUGAUUUCGGCAGAGACGGACAAAGAUAGUACCACUGAUCAGCUUCAUGGCUCUAGCUUGGGAUGCUUUUACGAUAUUAGACUGUGCUUAGCUCACUAAAAAUAGCUUGUGAAACUUCUCAGGUGAAUUUCAGCCUUCUAAAAGCACAGUGGCUAUCAUGCUUCAUACAAUGCUCUCUCCCAACUAUGUAAACACUAUUUAAAACCGAGCACUGCAACAACAAAAAAAAAUAAAGAUGGACAGAGGUAAA